rnacentral:rRNA from 1 species
AUUGAACGCUGGCGGCAUGCUUUACACAUGCAAGUCGAACGGUAACAGGGAGCUUGCUCCGCUGACGAGUGGCGAACGGGUGAGUAAUGCAUCGGAACGCGCCGUGUAGUGGGGGAUAACGUAGCGAAAGUUACGCUAAUACCGCAUACGCCCCGAGGGGGAAAGUGGGGACCGGCAAGGCCUCACGCUAUACGAGCGGCCGAUGUCGGAUUAGCUAGUUGGUGGGGUAAAGGCCUACCAAGGCGACGAUCCGUAGCGGGUCUGAGAGGAUGAUCCGCCACACUGGGACUGAGACACGGCCCAGACUCCUACGGGAGGCAGCAGUGGGGAAUUUUGGACAAUGGGGGCAACCCUGAUCCAGCCAUGCCGCGUGAGUGAAGAAGGCCUCGG